UGCAGUAUAUCGCUGAAUUCCCGGCUCGCCGGGAAGCGGGGGAACCAACGGGACAUGACAACGCGUUAGACGCGCCGAUCGGUCCAAGGGGUGAAUCCCUUCGCGCUUGCCUUGCAAGCGCUGGGGUAGGGCGACUCUCACGCCCGAAUCCGUCAGCUAACCUCGUAAGCGUAUAGAGAGAGGCAAC
rnacentral:sRNA from 2 species